ensembl:lncRNA
CUGAUGCAUGGCUGAGGCAGGCAGUGAAGGCAGGGGACCAUCACCCCAGUGUCUGGCCUGAGCCUCCUCCAGGUCCCUCCACAGCUCUCCAUGAACUCCCCCUCCCUCAGGCAGAACCACUUCUUUCAGCAGGACAACAGCUAAAUCUCAGUUCUAUUUUUGUAUUAUUUAUGUUCCUGAAGAUUUUCAGAUGUUUUUACUGACGUUUGGAAGCUUCAUUUGGCAAAUAUUCCCUGUGCUUCAUUCAGCAUUUCUGUUAUCGCCUCCACCUCGCUGGGCCUCCGCCUUUCUCCCCCAAAACAUGGGAUGAAAGGAAAACUCAGUGUUAGCUCAAAAGCAAAGGAAAUUAGGGCUUGGGCAAGAGUUACCUGAUCAAUAUGCAGCACUAGCAGUGGCCAUAAUGACAAUAUUCAGGAGGCAUAAACCACGUGGACCCGUGGAGCUCCAGAGUGUGGCUGGAUGAUGCCACUGCAGCCCUGCAGCAGCACAGGCACAGUCCAGGAGAGGAACAAACAAAAGCAGCAGGGUUAAACAACCAAAGAGCCUCCACCAAACCGAGCUGCAGAUGCUGGAGGCACCCCAGGUCUGCCCCUGCCUGUGCUCUGCAGGGGGGACCACAACAGAAGCCCUCAUGCUGAAGAAGUCUGAUACAGGACUUGCUGCUCUCCCAAGGGGCUGCCAUGCCCACGGACACAGCUAAUGCCCUUCAAGAGGUCCCUAUAUAUAAAACCCCUACAUAUAAAGCCUAGCCAGAGGCACCAACAGGACAAAAAGAUGUGGAAGAAGCCUACUGUAAAGCCAGCUCGAGCUUCCUAAAGGGCAGCAGAGGGGUUAAAAGGUGUUCAGGGCCAGGGGAGAGAAACAGAUUUCAACAUGUUCACAGAGUUUCCUGGCUUGGCACUACUGCAUGAAGCUGCAAAUCAGUUUCCUGUCUCAUUAAGAAUCCCCUGCAUUUAAUUGCUCUGAGUGUCUGCUGUAGAGAUUGACUUAGAGGGAUGAGCUGAGUGGUGGCGGUUUGUUCUCAGCACCUCGGUUCAGAGGGUCUGUCCUACUUGUCAGUAGUAAAAGCCAGCUUGGCAAGGGUGCUGUAAGGAGUGUGUCACAAAGCUGGAGUGCUUGGAGCCUCCCACAUGGGAGAAGCUUCACACUUCUGAUUUAGCCAUAAAAUAAUCUUCUACCUGAUACUACUGAACUCGCAAACUGAAGAUGGUGCUUCUGGUUUUAGGUUGCCUGGGCUAAAUUCAGGUCUCAGCUACACAAGUCUGAAUCAGGCCAGAUGAACUGUUGUGCCCUGAGUAGGAGACACUCAUACAUUCGCCCAAGGAAGCAGUUGGAUAAUGCAGCAAUCACAUUCAGCCAAUGCCUGAGGGGUCUAAAUCCCAUCUGCUCUAAACCUGCCCCACGGACACCCUCUGCUGUGACUGUUUUACUCCAGCUUCAUCCACUACGCACAAACGGGGCAGUAACUUUGUUGUACACUAUUUUUGUAAGAAAACCAAAUGUAAGCAGCCUGUACUUACUGUAAUGAUGGGUAUUUAUUGGCUCCAGUAGCACGCAGCUUGUGAAUAAAGGUAUCCAGAGACUUUAGACAGCU